rnacentral:rRNA from 1 species
GUUCUACCUUGACGAAUUGUAGUUUAAAGAAGUGUUUUCUGUUAGAGGAGUAGCAAAAGUUCCUUGGAAUGGGACAUCAUAGAGGGUGAGAAUCCCGUAUUUGGUUAUUCUUUCUAGCUUUGUGAUACACUUUCAAAGAGUCGGAUUGUUUGGGAAUGCAGUCCAAAAUGGGUGGUAAAUUUCAUCUAAAGCUAAAUAUUGGCGAGAGACCGAUAGCGAACAAGUACCGUGAGGGAAAGAUGAAAAGAACUUUGAAAAGAGAGUUAAACAGUACGUGAAACUGUCAAAAGGGAAGCGUUUGACACCAGUGUUGUUUUUCCGAAAAUCAAUUAAGAACGGCUUGAUUUUGUGUUGUAUUGACCUUAUCAGCUUUCUUCACUCUUUUUCGAGUCUUUCUU